rnacentral:lncRNA from 1 species
CAGGAUACGAUAUAUAAGUACCGAUAAUAAUGAAAAUAGACAAAUCCAUAUUUAAAAACACAUUUCUUCAAAAAAAACUUGCGUGACCAUUAUUGGGGUGGAAUCACCAUAUAUGGUACCACCUAAAAUAUUACAAUUCUCGAACAAAAGGAAGAAGGCAUUAUUACAACCUGGUCCCGCAAUAAGAUGGGAAGAAAAGACAAUCUAGAAGACAAUGAAAAAAUAAAAAAAUAAUCUACCUUAAAAGUGAACUAAUUAAUCUACCUUGUGUUGUAGCAUAGGAAGCAAUUCAUGACCCUAAACCAAGCACUCCUUAGGCGAGGGUACACCCUAUUGCUGUAUAAUCUUGAUUCUCUGCUUAUGUCUUCCAUGGCUUCCACAAAGAGAUUCAAGUUUCUGAUUGGUGGAAUAUAGAGGAUCAAUGGAACUGCAGAGAAAGCCAUUGUGAAGAACAACUGCAACAUUUUUUUUCCUUCUGUGUUGUUCUUAUUUUCGGAGUUCUUAACACACCAAGCUAGAGAGGAAUUAUAUAUAGAGAUUCAAUUAGACAAAGAUGGAAAACUUUGAAUCCAGAUUUAAAAGGGUAUUUAAUUUGUGGAUUUUCGUGGUGAUACGUUUUUAUGGUUUGAAUGUUGGAUAUAGAGAAAGGUGUUGAAAGGAAUAAUAUAUAGGGACUAAGGGAGGAUACUUUUAAGGGAAAGCUAGUUCUGGAAACUUUAAGAAGGUUUCAUUUCAUUUUUCAAC